rnacentral:sRNA from 1 species
AAGCAAAGCAAAGCCUUCCCGUUUCCUAGUUGUAGUUGCCUCUCCCCUCCCGCUAAUCAAAUCCCAGGACCGAAUUAACAAGGGAAAGAGAGACAGCAAGAAGAAAACCCUCCCGUGCAGAUCAGAUCGGCAGAUUGCUUCGAAGCAAACCUUUGACUCCUCGACCGAUCGAGCAAGCAAGCAACUCGACCUACCUAUUUACGGAUCACCACGCGCUCGGACGGAUCGAGCACGGAUCACCUACCUAUUGAUCGAUUUCGUCCGAAGCCUGCGGCUGUGUGCAAGCAUGCUGGAGCUACUGCUGGUGGGGUGCAGCAGCGUGGUGCUGCUCCUCCACGGCGCCAACUUCCUCCUCCGCGCGCUCUUCGCUCGCCGCGGCGCCGUCGCGCGCCCCAUCAGCUUCCUCGGGUUCGUCGCGUGAGGGACCACCGAUCGAUCGAUCGAUCUCGCCAAGGCCGGGGCCGACCGUCCGUCACGAUCCCGCACCGCGCGCGCGCGACGGAUCGGAGCGCGAACAACAUGCCGUGCACCGUACACCGAUCGACCAACCGGCCGUGCCCUUCGAUCUCUCUCUCAUGUGUAUAUAAUCUGUGAAAGACCGACCUGUGCGGGCUCGGUCGUGCGUUGAGCAGUCCAUGUAUGCAUUCAGUAGGUUAGCUAGCAGUAGAAGAAGCAGACUCCUUUCAAAAAAAAAAAAAAACAGAGAGACAAGAAGCAGCAGCAGACUGUAUAGCACUACCAACUUGAUGCAUGAUUGGUUAUUAUU